GGCUCCAUAGCUCUGUGGUUAGAGUGCUGGUCUUCUAAACCAGAGGUUGCGAGUUUGAUCCUUGCUGGAGCUG
rnacentral:tRNA from 1 species